UCCCUGGUGGUCCAAUGGUUAAGACUUGGCACUUGUAUUGCCAAGGGUCUAGGUUCAAUCCCUGGUUGGGGAA
rfam:Ovis aries breed Texel chromosome 14, whole genome shotgun sequence.